rnacentral:rRNA from 1 species
UACGAAGGGUGCAAGCGUUACUCGGAAUUACUGGGCGUAAAGCGUGCGUAGGUGGUGAGUUAAGUCUGUCGUGAAAGCCCCGGGCUCAACCUGGGAAUGGCGAUGGAUACUGGCUCGCUAGAGUGCGGUAGAGGAGAGUGGAAUUCCCGGUGUAGCAGUGAAAUGCGCAGAGAUCGGGAGGAACAUCAGUUGCGAAGGCGGCUCUCUGGACCAGCACUGACACUGAGGCACGAAAGCGUGGGGAGCAAACAGG